GUGGAGAACAUGAAGAAGGAGAAUGCAGGUGCAUAAAUGACAUUUGACAAAUAUUAUAGUGUAAAAUAUACUAUACAAAUAGUAUUAUUUAAUCACACAUAGUAUUAAUUCCAUGUAAUUACUGUAUAAAUAACAUAAACAGUGAAUUAUUAUUCAUUGGUUAUGAUUAGUUUAGGUUAUAAUAACAGUACAUUAAUUCAAUUCUCUACAUGUAAUAGAGUGCAUGAGUAGAUAUAAUUUAGAAUAACAGACAUCUGUAUUAUUUUGUAUAUACGCGCAAGAUGCUGUCCUGUCAGACGUACAGAAAGACCUGGAGAAUCUGAAGAUGGAAAAUGCAGGUAAUGCAGAACAGACAGUCCAACGUUCACAUCCAAGCUGCUUACAAGAGUGACCAUUUAAUUUUUUACAGUAAUUCUGAGCAUGGGAACAACCAGCGACAUCUCAUCAAUAUACAUUGUUAUACAUCCAUACAUACAGUCAUGUACAUUCAUAUACCGCCAUAAAUUAUUAUAUACAGCCAUAUAAAUGAACUGUUAUAUGCAACCAUAUUCAUCCAUAAAUUAUUAUAUACCGCCAUAAACUGCCAUAUACAGCCAUAUAAAUGAACUGUUAUAUGCGACCAUCCUGUCAUAAAAACUCUUUAAUCUCCUAUAGAAAUAAGCCAUACCAUAAUCUACCAUAAAGUACUAAAUUAUUCCUUCAUUAUUGCAGCACUUGUGGCAGAGCUGACGGCUCUAAAGAUCCAAAUGGAUGACAAUGAGCAGAACGUGGAGAACCUGACUCAUCAGAAUGCAGAACAAGCAGCAGAGCUGAAAGCUGUCAAGAACCAAGUAGAAGAUCUGCAGCAGAAGAACUCAGAGAUUGGAGGACUGAAGACCAGACUAACAUCAGUGGAGACCAAAGUGGAGAAACUGAACAUCAUGAAUGCAGGUAAAUGACGGAAAAUAUGCUGAACAAACUUUGAUAUUAUUAUUGCUAUAUACUGAAUACAUAUUGUAAUCGUGAUGAAAGAUCGGUUUAUUUGUACAUGAUGAGUAUUGGGUCAUAUCCUUAAAUAUGAUGUGCCUUUUAUUUGGGAUAUAAGUUACGUUCUAGUCAUCAUUCUAUGUAAAUCAAUAGAAUUACUUACAGAUCAGAUGAUUAUGUUUUUGUCUUUUUGUAAAGUUGAAUAUCAGCAGUGAUGUUUGUUUGGUUCUGUUCCACUUUACAGGAGGCAAAGUGGCCUUUUCAGCAGCUUUGACAUUUAAUACUGAGUAUGUACAAGCAGGACCUUCCGAACUGAACUUGGUCUUCAGGAACAUCAUCACCAACUGCCUACAGCAGUAAUACAGGUGCUCAGCAUCUUCUCAUAGUCAUGGUGUCAGUGGGAGUCACAUUCUUUAAACACCUCAGUGCCAGCCUCUUAACGCACUUUGUGAAAGUGAAGUGACUGUCCUUGUGAAACACCACACACGGUGUGGCUCAGGUUUAAAGGAUUAAACCAUCACCGUUGGUGAGGAGCGGGCAGCCAUGUUCAUCUUCUCUGCAUCAGCUCGUUUUGCUCCUUACUGGCCCGUGACUGGUUGGCUCGGCCUGUAGAAUUGAGCCUCUUUGUCUUUGGACUGGAAGGCGGAGUCCCUGGCGUCCACCAGGGUUUGUGGUUCGGUCCGGUGAUGAACAGGGACUGAUAGUCUCCUGUUUAACCUGACAGGUGCAUCAUGGUAGUAGAUCUG
ensembl:lncRNA